CGCACCCACGUGACCGCGCUCCGCCGGGCUAUAAAUAGCGGUGGCACCGCCCCUACCCCUUCCUUUUUCGGCAGGCAGCGCAAGGGGUGGCGGGCAAAGGCCUAGCUGGAAUAAAGCUUUUUCUGAGAGCAAAGAAAUGUUGGACUACUAACACUGCUUUCCUGUUUCAGAAGACUUGAGAUGACUCGGCAUUCUUUUUUCAUUGGCUGGAAAACAGGUUGGAACUGCAUUUUAAGUAUGAGGCUUAAUAAAAAAAAAAAAAGCUACUGCAGGGGGGAACACUUCUAGCUGCCUGGAGUACUUGCUGAUUUCCAGAUGUAAGGCUGGGAUUGCUCUAUAACGUACCUGGCCCAGGAAACCUAGAGACCUGAUGCCAUUUCUUAAGGAUUUGAUUGAGCCAGUUACAAGCCUGUGGAAGAGAGGUUCCAUGGCUAUGGGAAUGAAUCCUGAUAAUGAAAGGAUGUGUUGGAGGGAUUGGCAUUGGCUUACAAACUGGUACUAAAGGAGAAAUUCCUGCUUUCACCCUGCUGCAGAGGGAGCAGAUGAUGGCACACUUGAGAGAAGGUGUCCAAAGGGCUCUUGAGAAUGAUGAUUGGGGUGACUUGGAUGUGCACAGUGCUGCUACCUAAAGUCCUGAACUUGACUGAACUUGGAAUUAAAGCAGUUUCUGAAGCAAAGCUAUGCUCCUACCUCAGGAUGGUAUCUUGACAGGUUGUGGCCCUUUUUUCUAGGCAAGGACUCUGAUCUGCCUAAAGACAAACUGGCCACAAGACAGCAGUGGAAGAACAGGAAUUUGGAAGGGUAAGGAGCUGCGAGCUUUUGGCAGAUUUUUAGUGCAAGACAUGCACGCAAAGAAAUGUCAAACCCCUGUGGAUUGUGGAUUUCUAAUCAAUAAAUAUUGUUGUAUGAAA